AUGAAAACCAACGGAGUCAGAGUCAGAAUAUCAUUGCUUUGUUGGAGGAUCCGUAAGAGGAUCAGUCAUAUCAUUUCUUUCACUAGAUUCACAUCUCUACGUAGUAGUAACUCGAUAGGCUCGAUAGAUAGUUACGGGGGUGACACACAGUGAUUACCCCGCCUCCAAUAGUCUAGUUAUUUCACAGUCACCAAAUCCGAGGAAAUACGCCUUUGUUUAGAAUCCCUGAUAACGCUUGUACCGCGGAUUUACAAUCGAAGGGGUGUCUCCGUAGUCCGUUAUCUGUCUACCAGCCGUCUACCAGCAAGUACAUCCCACUCUAGUCUCGUACUCGAUCACACUUUCGCCAGUUAAGUAGAUAGCAUUUCGGACAUGUAUCAAAAUUAUUCAGUGAUUCACCGGACUGCAGCUGUCACGAGUCGCGGAUGAUCCCGUCACAUCACUGAUUUUCACUAUUGGCGGUUACGACAGUCCUAUCAGGUUAUUUUGUCUGAUUAAUUUGAUUUAUGGUUAUCGAUUCACAGGUUGACAUUUCCCGACGCGUCCCGUCACGUUUCUGUCGCUCUCGGAUUGGGUCUUGUUCGAUAAGGAAAAAUGUCAUUUGAUCGAUCUCCGACGAUUAGUAUCUUGACUACGUAGUCAGUGGACGAUUCCACGGAGUUAUCAAUGGUUAUCUACGUAGUACAUAUUAUGGUAUUAUGUACGUUAUACUCUGAGUAUAGAGUAUCAGACUACGAUUGUGCAACCACCAUCUCCGGGCGCUUACACGGCGUGAUGUGCCUCUGUCUCGGUGGCCAGUCACAUCCGCCACAGUCAGUCACGGUCAAUGAUUGAUUCGAUUCGAUUUAUUUGUCAGUAUGUAUGUGAACAGACGGGAUGAUUCGAAAUUCAAAAGAUAGCUGCUCGCAUAUUGCCUAGAAUCAAAAGAUUAAAGAUUCAUUCAUAUACUCCGUGGCUCAUAUAGUUUCCUAAAAUGGAAAGUCGACUACGUCUCUUCACACUCGGUACACUCCGUACCGUCGCGAUAAGACUGGUCUGUCGGUCGACCUUUCUGCUUGUGAUAGUUGUGACUCAUGGUAGCAGCGACAACAUGAAUUAGUUAGUUACGCUCGGUUUACCAAAGAACAGGGCGGUCGCAUCACAUCGCAUCGUGUUGGGCCACCACACACACACACACACACACACACACACACACACAGCCCAGGCAGGUUUUCAACCAAACAACAAGGACGACGAAUAUCGAGAUGUCUUGACGUGGCUCAGAGUCAAAGUCAAGACUCAGACUCGGCUUCACCGCCAGGAUGUUUUGAUAGGGAUCAAGGAUUAGGGUUAUCGGGCAGCCCGUCAUGUCAUACUUGCUGCAUGCAAACAGCAACAAUAACGACAGUAACAUCAACAACAACAACAACAACAACAACAACAACAACAACAACAACAACAACCGCGGUCGGCGCCUCGUAUUUUGCAUGUGCUGGGUUGUGCCUUGUUUGUAGCGUGUGUUGUCAACUCAUCAGCUUCGUAUCGGAUACUAUCUGUCUCGACGCGAAAGUAUGACUGAUAUCCGGCGCACCCGUUGCAUUUCUGACUGUCGCGAACCAAACUCUCACCGAUCAACUUGAUUUUGUUGAGUCACCUUCUUUCCUCUUAGUUAACUAAGUCAGAUUAACCGUCAGACCGUCGGCAAAAUACAUACGAAGUUUUACAACUAUCCGAGCUGAGCAUUGCCGACAUUACUACGGUCGGUAGACGAUGUAUCGAGUUCCUCGAUUCAAAGGAACGAUUACGCGCGUAAGACUGGGGAUAGUAAUAACUACUGUCCGAAAUAUCGCUUGUUCAUUGUGAUGUAAACUACUACGUACGUAUUUUGUGGCUGUCGUGGAGUGUCGGGAUUCCGUGCGGUAUUGGCGAUUACAUACGCUGAAACGGCGUUACGCAAUGCUAAUUUACAACAAAAUUACGAAUUUAUCCAGGUUCACACUCUUCGUUUGUAUAUACGGGGCGGCACGGGAAAACUUCCGUGCAACCCCGUCAAGGUUUCAUAGUCCUUUUGUACAAACAGAGUAUCCAGGUUCUGAUAGACCGGUUGAUAGUUGGUUACUUGGCCUUUUCUUAGUGCCUCGUUUCCACUUUGAUGAAUCAUUCAUUUUUGCCUUUUGGACAUCUGUCCUGGGUUUCCUCAAAAGAUUGGGUGUGGGUUAUUAAAUCCACAAACGACACUUAGCCGACGGCUACUGCUUUCCACUCAGAGUUCGUGGGGGGGAAGUUGUCAACUACCGUGGUCGAAAGCGUAUCAUACUAUUUUUACCCCAUGUUCCGAGGCAGCGACAGAGGUAUAUUAGAUAGGGAUCCCCCACGUUCUGUGGGUCGCACAGUCAUUGCCGCAUGAGGGAUCUACGUAGGUGCUGUAACUUAGCUAUGUAUAUGUAACUACAUACUCUGUAGUAUAUCAAAAUGAUUCGUCUCAAUCGCAUCAAUACUCAAAUGAUCAAAUCCACAUAAACUUUUGUAGCGGUGAGCUUCGACGUUCAACAAACUCUCAAGGGAAUUACGGAAUAGAUUCAACAAACAUGGGAUCCACCUCCGCAUUUUUCAACAUUCCGGAGAGGCGAAACUCUACUCCAAAAAAUAAGAGGUCUAGACGGUGGAGAUGGAUGUACUCAUAGAGAAAGAGAAGAAAAAUUUGCCUCCUCCACACGGAAAAUACCCUUUUACUUCACCGGAAAAAAAAAUGUCAAAGUCGCCUCCUUGCCAGAUGGGGAAAUGGACCGAUUUCUUCAUUAGUUGUCCAAUUUUGCCAUCUACAUGCUGACUGUUUGGUUCAAUGUGGAGGGGAAGAUCGGGGAGCUUUCCUUUCGGAGGUACUGGGUUCUUCUGUUUGUAUUGUUUGCGCGUCUACGACUCAUGUAUAUCAAUGUGUAUUUGUUGGGGAUAGAAUGCCUAGAGUCGAUGAUGUAUUUGAUCUUUGGGUUUUGUGUAAAACUUUGAAGUGAGAUGUUCCAGGGUUGAUGGGGUGGGUUACGCGUCCUCGCGUUGACCGCGUAGUCAGGAAAGCAGCCUUGGGAAUGCAGCGCGAAGUCAACAUGUCUACAAGACUCGCUUACGAAAUGCCAUUAUGGUAAUAACAUAGUUAUAAGUUACUACGGAGUAUGUAGCGGAAGAGAAACAUUGAAGCAUCGAAAUCCGGGGUAGCACGUGGGGCUGUAAACCCUAAGUCUAUUCAACCCUUGAAGGAUUCAGUCA
rnacentral:lncRNA from 1 species